rnacentral:lncRNA from 1 species
UGCACCUGUACUUCCUUCCCAACUGUCACUGUGUGAGCUGAGCUGCUGCAGUUUGGUCACUGGUGAGAAGUUCCCCAUGAUGGGAAAUGUGAAUUGCCGUUCUUUAGGAAAUUUCUGUAGCAAUGAAGCAGAAGAUGUACCUCACAAGACGACAAUAUCCAUAAAGAAAAGAGACUGCUUCUGCUCGCACAUCAGGGUGCACCCUCUUCCUGUACCAGAGGAAGCUCAUCCCAAGGGCCUGAUGCAAGAGUUUCCCAGAACAAAUGCAGAGGAAGUACCCAUAACACUUCCUGAGGGUGAGGCCACAGUAACUGUUCACAGUAUAUAUUCUAGAAUUGGAAUCUUGUUGAGAACAACUCUUGCUGACUAUGAGGGUUCCAUCAAUGUCCUGAUGGAUGAAGUUUCCAGUGACAUGGGAGACAGAGACACCACAUGGACUUCCCAUAGUUUUUGUCUGGAGAGCAUAGCAAACUCCAGCAGUGAAGAGGAAGACUCUGCAGAUGGACCUGGUCAUGCUGGAUUCUGCUCUUCCUUUCAGUUCCCAAGAAGCACCCCUUCGCCAGAUUUAGGAUUAAAAGCAAGGGAAGCAGGUUUGCAGUCACCAGAGGAGCAAAUGCAUAUGUGGUGUCCAAUCACCAGGGCGCUGUCACUCUGCUCUCCUCCCCUCAUCCCGGAUGGGCCAUCUUGGAUCCUGCAGUUGAGGGACAGCACAGAACAGCAUCGUGACCUUCCUCUCUCAGCACAGAGCUUCACUCCCUGUCCCCUGUGGCCCAGACUUCCUGUGCAAGGUGAGAAACUGGUGGUGAGGUCACUGACCUAAGGUUCAUAGGCAGUGGGGGAUGUGGUGUAAAUAGGGUUGGACCUGCCCUGAGUUGGUGUUUCCUGUGUCAUAAGUCAGGCUAUUAGUCCUCAGAAGAGGUCAACGCACCUGCAGUUGUGUCUCAUUUUAGGAGGUGGGGGUGCAGGUGCACCAAAAUUGGGGUGUGCAUAUUUGCAACAGGUUGUUAAGGGACAUUUCCAUAGUAACAAAAUGAAAAAGGUUAAAGAUUAGGG